rnacentral:rRNA from 1 species
GACGAACGCUGGCGGCGUGCUUAACACAUGCAAGUCGAACGGUGAAGGAGAGCUUGCUCUCCGGAUCAGUGGCGAACGGGUGAGUAACACGUGGGCAACCUGCCCCAGACUUCGGGAUAACGCUUCGAAAGAGGUGCUAAUACCGGAUACGAACUCCUUGGGCAUCCUUGGAGUUGGAAAGUUUUUCGGUCUGGGAUGGGCCCGCGGCCUAUCAGCUUGUUGGUGAGGUCACGGCUCACCAAGGCGACGACGGGGAGCCGGCCUGAGAGGGCGACCGGCCACACUGGGAGUGAGACACGGCCCAGGCUCGUACGGGAGGCAGCGGUGGGGAAUAUUGGGCAAUGGGCGAACGCCUGACGCAGCAACGCCGGGUGAGGGAUGACGGUCUUCGGGUUGUAAACCUCUUUCAGUAGGGAAGAAGCGCAAGUGACGGUACCUACAGAAGCGGCACCGGCUAACUACGUGCCAGCAGCCGCCGUAAAAC